GAUGAAGAACGCAGCGAAAUGCGAUAAGUAAUGUGAAUUGCAGAAUCCAGUGAAUCAUCGAAUGUUUGAACGCACAUUGCGCCCGCCAGCAUUCUGGCGGGCAUGCCUGUUCGAGCGUCAUUUCAACCCUCGACCUCCCCUUGGGGAGGUCGGCGUUGGGGACCGGCAGCACACCGCCGGCCCUGAAAUGGAGUGGCGGCCCGUCUGCGGCGACCUCUGCGUAGUAAUACAGCUCGCACCGGAACCCCGACGCGGCCACGCCGUAAAACACCCAACUUCUGAACGUUGACCUCGAAUCAGGUAGGACUACCCGCUGAACUUAAGCAUAUCAAUAAGCGGAGGA
rnacentral:misc_RNA from 1 species